GUGACAGAAGAGAGUGAGCACCCAUGGCCUUUCUAGCAUGCAUGCUUGAAGUGAUGUGUGCUCACCCUCUGUCUGUCAC
rnacentral:pre_miRNA from 2 species